AACCCUAGAAAUUCAAUUUCCAGGAACGCGAUAAUUUUUCUCCUUCCUCUUCUCCGAUUCACAAGUAC
rnacentral:sRNA from 1 species